CUUUAUUUCUUCUUCUUCUUGUUUUCUCGAGGAAGAUGGUGAUGAAAAAUUGUUGAUAAUGGUGGCGAAUUCAUGGGGUUGGAGAAUAAUCAGGCUGGAACGGCCACGAAACGAUCGGCUAUUUCUAAUAUCUCGAAUUCAUACAAUUGUAUCAGGAAAUACAGAGGUUCUAGAUGCAAUGGAGAUGAUAUUUCAAUCUGCGCUGGCUUUGGGUUGAAAGGGAGUUGCAAGUGUUCUUAUAUUGGUCUAUCCUGGUGUUUUUGUUGAAUCAAAUUCAAACAUAAACAAAGUGACUUUCAUUAUAAAACUUUAGGAUAGAGGGAAUCAUAAAGUGAUUAGCUUGUACACUUGAAUCAAGUUAAACUUUUUGGUUGGCAGCUCUUCUAGUAGACUGAGUAAUUAAAAACAAAAUUUUGUCUGCUAUACUAAAGGAAAUUUCUGAUAAGUUUGCAUAUGGAGAGAAAAUUUUUGUUUUUGUAUUGCAGUUAUAUAUGUUAAACCUUACUUGCAGGUAUGCAUUUGUCACUCCCGAAAUUGUAGAUGGGAAAAAUGCUCAGUCUCCAGUAGGGGAACUUGGAAUGGUAGAGAUGACCCAGGCUCUGGAAUAAUUGAUGUUUGCUAUGAGCAGGAUAUAUCAUGAUAUUUGAUGGUUCAACCAAAAAUAUUGAGCAUACUCCUGAUGUUAAGGAAUACAGUCCUUCAGAAAUCUACGCAGAAAGUUAUUGUUAAUCCCCUAAUGAUGAUAUCUGGAAGUGGAAGCUAAUGUUGAACACUAAUCUGUAUUUGCUGCUGACUGCAUGGAUCAAAACUAUGAAUCAGUAUGAAACAGGUCCAAAUGAAGCAAAGUGAUAUCGCGGAUUCAUAUAACUGAUUACUUUACACAGAGAAUGUUAGGAGGAAACCUUGUGAAUUGUUCCAUUGCUUUUCAAGGGUGAAAGAUUAUUAUUACCUGUUCCAGUAAACUAAACAAUUAGGCACUGGAAAUUUCUCACUUUCCGUAUGUUCAGCAACUGAGAACAAUCUAAUGGAGACGACUGAGAAUUACGAUGCUUCAUUCAAGUUGCUUGUAUUAUUUGUACAUGUUAGUUAAAGAACUUGUGUCAUCAAUCACGAAUCCUUAUGCCAAGAAAUAUUAAAAGCACUUCUCUUCAGACAAACGAAGUUCAAACUCAACCAGUAAUAUGUAGUCACAGCAGAGUCUUACAGCAUGGACCACUAUAGCUGGUAAAUGUAGGAAGACGGUAAAUGUGCAAUUGACAAAGUCAAUAUCUCCAAAGCGAGCAUUGUACAAUAUCUCUUGGCUAUAUACCACAAGGUACCCCAUGAACAAUGCAUGCAGAGUGUAUACCUACACACAAGCAGUACUCAUCAUCAGAGAGAAAACGGAAUCGGAAAACUGAUGAAGAACAAUGAAGAAGAAGAAGAGCUGUGCUCUGUUUAUACUGAAAAAGAGUUCGUUACCAUCGACUACCCUCUCCGUUACUCUUUUUCGGAAUAUUUACGCUUCUACCUUUCAGUUAUGGGCCGAGUUUAGGAAAUAUUCCAGGGGUAUUUUCGUCAAACGAGCAAAGAGAAAGUAUCCACGUGUUCAGAUCGUUGGCGGGAAAGGGGAAAGGUUUAAGAAAUGUAAUUGUAGCAUAUUUAUAUAGUCACGUAGAAGAUAAGUACUAAUUUAUAUAAGAUGUUCAGUUUUAUUUUUCUUAA